UACGGAGGGUGCAAGCGUUAAUCGGAAUUACUGGGCGUAAAGCGUGCGUAGGCGGUUCGUUAAGUCUGUUGUGAAAUCCCCGGGCUUAACCUGGGAACUGCAUUUGUGACUGCAUGGCUGGAGUGCGGCAGAGGGGGAUGGAAUUCCGCGUGUAGCAGUGAAAUGCGUAGAUAUGCGGAGGAACACCGAUGGCGGAAGGCAAUCCCCUGGGCCUGCACUGACGCUCAUGCACGAAAGCGUGGGGAGCAA
rnacentral:rRNA from 1 species